AAGCUGCAUCGCAGUCGUAAUUAUCGUGGUCCCCUGGUUUGCCUGGUCCUCAAAAAUGUCGUCAGCUGGUCGACACUAGUCAACCAUAAAGGCUCAGGCCCGUCCCGGGACUGAAGGAGUCUCAGGGCCCACGGAGUUCCGAUCAGGCCGGACUGGGCGGGGGUCCUACACGCCGCCGGCAGGAGCGGAGCGCUCGCACCCGACCCCCUGUGACCACUUCCCGGCGCCCCGCAGGGGCCGUGAGGAGCUCACACCGGGAGUCCCAGACUGAGACACCUCACGAGGGGUGCCGCGGACGCCGGAAGCAGUCCAGCCCGCCAGACUCGGGCGGCGCCCGGUCCCACGGCGCCCAUUCACCUGCCGAGGGAACUCAGCCCGGAAAUCCGCUUCUGCCGCGCUGCUGCGUGGGGCGGGACUUCCGGUCUCUCAAGGGAACCGGAAGCGGCUCUUUCCCGCCGGAAGGAGAGGGUUUUGCGGCCUCGGCGGGGGGGUCGCCCGGCCUCCAGUCUUUCCCUUUCUGUCAGCCAGCCAGGUGUCCCGCACCCGCCGCCCCUCUCGACCAAAGGCGCCCUCCUCGGAGGCAGGCCGGCGGCAGGCACAGAUCAAGUUCCCUAGAAGCAGAAAGCAGUUGUUCCCAGGUUCUGGUCACUCAGAGAUUACGGGAGCACAGCUCUUGUCUUUGAUCUGCUUACAGCCAGGUGGAGAAGACACAGUGGUGGCAGAACAGCCAUUUCAUUGUUGUAAAGCAGACUUGUCAACAAGUUUCCAGUGAGCAAUUCCAUGAGGUAAACCUUUUCCUCGCUGAAAUUUAGUUUCAUCAGAUUAUUCAUGGUUAUUUUAAGGAAUUGAGGUACCUUACUGGAAAAGUAAAAAGCUUUUGGGGGUUAUUUGUUCUGGACUUAAUUUUUCUUCUUGGAGAAGAUGGAGAGGCCCAGGCCGGCAGGCUGAGAACUACAGUGCUGCAAAGUAGUCUCUGGUUUCCUCUGACAGGAUUUUCAGGUCAAAGGUAAUUGUAAGUAGCUCUUUUCUUGCUAAAUAAAAGUAUUAUUAAAG